rnacentral:lncRNA from 1 species
UUUGUAUGCCUGAGGGUGUUGUUUAUUUCUCUUCGUGCUUUCGUGCAUUUGUAACGUGUUGUCUCUUUCGGGGAGGUAAAAGAGAAUGAAAAAUGGUAUUUUCAGUAUAGUAUAAUUCUUUUGUAGUAGUUGGCUUAACUAAUGAAACAUUCAUUAAUACUUUAGACCGUUUUAUUGUAAAAAGCGUGCAUUUUAGUUGAACGCAAAACAUAAAUGUUACUCUUUCCAUUUUUAUUAUACGACAUUUAGUGGUUGUAAAUACAUUUAAAGAAAAUAUUUAAUUUUGUAAUUUUCUAGACAAAAACAUCAUUAUUUAUUUAAAUAACCACAUUUUGAUUAAUAUAAAAUAAUUUACAAAAAUAUAAAAAAUUGUAUUACAUAAAAUUAAUAAAUUUUGCAUUAAACAUCGAAUACGACAUGUAAUUUGAAACAAUUUUUUUUUUCAAAACACCAUCUAUUAAAAACAGAGGGAGAACUAGUAUAGAAUUUACUCGCAUUCAAUAGUU